AACGAACGCUGGCGGCAUGCCUAACACAUGCAAGUCGAACGAGACCUUCGGGUCUAGUGUCGCACGGGUGCGUAACGCGUGGGAACCUGCCCUUAGGUUCGGAAUAACUCCCCGAAAGGGGUGCUAAUACCGGAUAAUGUCUUCGGACCAAAGAUUUAUCGCCUUUGGUUGGGCCCGCGUUGGAUUAGCUAGUUGUUAGGGUAAAAGCCUACCAAGGCGACGAUCCAUAGCUGGUCUGAGAGGAUGAUCAGCCACACUGGGACUGAGACACGGCCCAGACUCCUACGGGAGGCAGCAGUGGGGAAUAUUGGACAAUGGGCGAAAGCCUGAUCCAGCAAUGCCGCGUGAGUGAUGAAGGCCUUAGGGUUGUAAAGCUCUUUUACCCGGGAUGAUAAUGACAGUACCGGGAGAAUAAGCUCCGGCUAACUCCGUG
rnacentral:rRNA from 1 species